rnacentral:sRNA from 1 species
AAUCCGAAGAAGGAGAAGUACGUGAUCCAAUUGAUUCGAUCAAAUAUUGCGAGAGAUUCAUCGAAUUAUUGAUUGAUUUAGAAUCAAUUCUUCAAACGAGACGAUUCUUCAAUUCAGUACUUCAUUCAUCACAUAUUCUCACACAUUGCCUGCUUUCUUCGUUGAUUUCCACUGACGCUGGUUCGCUGUUCUUCCAAUUGGUUCAACUCCUCAAAUUUUACGCUAGAUUUGAGAUUGAUGAUCUUUCAGGUGCGGGAAUUGGCGGCUGAAAAUUGAGAAUUUUUGAGAAAAAACGGGCGCUAAAAUGGUUUAAAAAAAACAUGGUACAACAUGACAUUUUGAAGAAAUCCGCAUAAAAAUCGUCAAACCCCGAAAAUUGGCGUUUCUACAGUGAAUUUCGUAGCCUUUUUACUGUAGAAACACGUCAAUUUUCGGGUUUUUGACGAUUUUUAUGCGGAUUUCUUCAAAAUAUCAUGUUUUGCCACCAUUUUUUUUAUUGAAAACUAGUAUAAAAAUAUAGAAAAUUAGGUACUUGAUUUUUCUGAAAAUUGAAUUUAUUUCAGUCGAAACACAAUUGAUAAAGUGCUCAGAAGGCCAUUUUUGAGCACUUUAUUAAAUUUUUCGACUGAAAUGUAUUUUAUUUUCAAAUAAAUCUAAUGAUUUUCUAUAUUUUCACAUUAAAUUUCAAAUUUUGAGUUGUCGAAAUUUGUUUUUAUUGCUUUAUUAGACUCAAAAUCGUCUGAUAACACCGAAUUUCAUAAUGAAACUUUUUUGAAAACUUCUCAAAAAAAGUUAUGACGGCUCAAAAAAUGGCCAAAAAUUAGUUAAAAUUUGAAAUUGUAUCGGCUUUUCGCAGCGGCUGGAAACUAACAUUUUUGAAAUCACCGUUUAAUUUUGUGUAUACAACUCGAUUUAGGUACAUUUAACGUGAAAUUUGGUAACUUCUGGUGAUCCAUCGACCUUAAAUGUAUUACGGGAACAAUAAAUCAUGAGAAUGCGUACGUGGAGCAUUUUAUUUGACGCGCGAUAUCUCUUAGCGAAAACUACAGUAAGAACUUAAAUAUCUAUAGUUAUAGUUAAAUAUCUAUAGAUAUAGUUAUCUAUAGUUAUUUGAGUUUUUACUGUAGUCUUCGCUAAGAGAUAUCGCGCGUCAAAUAAAAUGCUCCACGUACGCAUUCUCAUGAUUUAUUGUUCCCGUAAUACAUUUAAGGUCGAUGGAUCACCAGAAGUUACCAAAUUUCACGUUAAAUGUACCUAAAUCGAGUUGUAUACACAAAAUUAAACGGUGAUUUCAAAAAAGUUAGUUUCCAGCCGCUGCGAAAAGUCGAUAAAAUUUCCGAUUUCAACUAAUUUUUGGCCAUUUUUUGAGCCGCUAUAACUUUUUUUUUUUGAGAAGUUUUCAAAAAAGUUUCAUUAUGAAAUUCGGUGUUAUCAGACGAUUUUGAGUCUAGUAAAGCAAUAAAAACAAAUUUCGACAACUCAAAAUUUGAAAAUUAAUGUGAAAAUAUAGAAAAUCACUAGAUUUAUUUGAAAAUAAAAUACAUUUCAGUCGAAAAAUUUAAUAAAGCUAAUCAAAGUGAAGCUUUAACUUACUUAAUUACUAGUGUCCAUAUCUCGUUACCCAUAAAAUUUAGCAGACAAGUUUCAACGGACAAUUUGUUUAUUGGUACUUUUAAAACAACUUUGCAGUUGACAAUUUUUUUUAUUUUACCCGUCAACGGAGCUGGAAGUCUUUGAAAGUAGGUCCUUUUCGUGAAAAACUCUAGAGAAAACAACAGUGGUUUUCUCCUAAAAUGACAUUUGAUCCUCCAAAAUCGUAGAAAUACCCAAACUAAUGCUGCUCUUUCAACCCAAGCACUUUUUGAAAAAAUGUUGAAAAAUUAUUUUUAGAGAAAAAAAUUUGCAUACAUCAGGUGGGAGAAAAGUGAAAAUUUAUCAAAAAAUGAAAACUUCCAAAAAGUUUCCAAAUUACUUUUAUGAUUCCCAGGAACCAAAAAAUUUUUUCCGAAGUUACCAAAAAACGGAAGAAACCGUGGUUUUGUGCAUAUUUCAUGCUAGAGGAAAUAUUCAAAAAAAAAUUAAUACCUAGUGGGGAACGAACCCGUGACCUUUAGAUUAAUGAGCACGAGAGUUCACCAAUCGGCCAUUCGAACGGCGGCUGCAGUGCCAAACUUUUAUGUAGCCACUUCUACACACGAAAAACGGCAUUUUGAGCAAAAAAAGCACUAAUUUUUAAGGCCGAAAAUUUCAGCUUUGGGGCAGACUUUAGCAGAUUCCAAAAACUGAUUCUUGUAGCCAUAGAUCUGAUCUUCCAUUUUCACUUUGUUUUGUCCUCCUAGCGAUUGCAGGGGUAACACCAUUCCCUAGUGAGCACUUUAUCAAUUGCGUUUCGACUGAAAUAAAUUCAAUUUUCUGAAAAAUCAAGUAAAUCCUAAUUUUAUAUAUUUUUAUACUAGUUUUCAAUAAAAAUGGUGUAAAAACAUGGUGCAACAUGAUAUUUUGAAGAAAUCUGCAUAAAAAUCGUCAAAAACCGAAAAUUUUCGGCUUAAGCGAAAAUUGGCGUUUCUACAGUGAAGAAGCUACGAAAAAUUCAGCUAGAAACUGCGUUUUUUCUCAAAAAUUCUCAAUUUUCAGUAAUUUUUUUUCCAGUCAAAAAAUUAUACCCUAAUCUUACAGGUCGUCAACUAACGCACAAAGAAGUCUCAGAACAACACUAUCAAAGUGUGACACGACUUCAAAAAGCCGCUUUUCGACUUUUCAACGAGACAAUGAAAGAGUUUUACGUGUUAAAUGUCAGUGGAGUCGACACUCGAAGAGCACUACAGAAACAAUUUGGAGAUAUGAAUCAUGCGGAAGUCUAUCGAUUUGCCGAAUAUUUACAUUUGGUUCCAGCUUUUGGAGG